CCUACGGGAGGCAGCAGUGAGGAAUAUUGGUCAAUGGACGAGAGUCUGAACCAGCCAAGUAGCGUGAAGGAUGACUGCCCUAUGGGUUGUAAACUUCUUUUAUAUGGGAAUAAAAUGUUCCACGUGUGGGAUUUUGUAUGUACCAUAUGAAUAAGGAUCGGCUAACUCCGUGCCAGCAGCCGCGGUAAUACGGAGGAUCCGAGCGUUAUCCGGAUUUAUUGGGUUUAAAGGGAGCGUAGGUGGGUUGUUAAGUCAGUUGUGAAAGUUUGCGGCUCAACCGUAAAAUUGCAGUUGAAACUGGCAGUCUUGAGUACAGUAGAGGUGGGCGGAAUGCGGGGUGUAGCGGUGAAAUGCUUAGAUAUCACGAAGAACUCCGAUUGCGAAGGCAGUUCACUGGACUGCAACUGACACUGAGGCUCGAAAGUGUGGGUAUCAAACAGGAUUAGAUACCCCAGUAGUC
rnacentral:rRNA from 1 species